UUUUUACACCCUCCGUCCGAAAAUACUUGUCAUCAAAAUGGAUAAAAAGAGAUGUAUCUAAAACUAAAAUACGUCUAGAUACAUUUCCUUUUAUCCAUUUUGAUGACAAGUAUUUCCGGACGGAGGAAGUAUUUG
rnacentral:pre_miRNA from 1 species